GAUGAAUGCUGGCGGCGUGCCUAACACAUGCAAGUCGAGCGGCAGCGAGGGGUGCUUGCACCCUGUCGGCGAGCGGCGAACGGCUGAGUAACGCGUAGGAAUUUGCCCCAAAGUGAGGAAUAACUGCCCGAAAGGGUAGCUAAUGCCGCAUAUGGUCUUCGGAUUACAGGAUUUAUCCGCUUUGGGAGAAGCCUGCGUUGGAUUAGGUUGUUGGUAGGGUAAUGGCCUACCAAGCCGACGAUCCAUAGCUGGUCUGAGAGGAGGAUCAGCCAGACUGGAACGGAGAUAAGGCCGAAACGGGUACGGGAGGCAGCAGUGGGGAAGAGUGGACAAUGGGCUGAAGCCGGAUGGAGAAAUGCCGUGUGGGGGAUAACGGCCGUCGGGUUGUAAACAGCGUGCGCCGGUGACGAAGCGUGAGGGAGGGGAAGGGGUAAAGAAGCACCGGCUAACUAGGUG
rnacentral:rRNA from 1 species